rnacentral:rRNA from 1 species
GUAGGGGGCGAGCGUUGUCCGGAUUUAUUGGGCGUAAAGAGCUCGUAGGCGGUUUGGCAAGUCGGGUGUGAAACCUCCAGGCUCAACCUGGAGUCGCCACCCGAUACUGCUAUGACUUGAGUCUGGUAGGGGAUCACGGAAUUCCUGGUGUAGCGGUGAAAUGCACAGAUAUCAGGAGGAACACCGGUGGCGAAGGCGGUGAUCUGGGCCAGUACUGACGCUCAAGAGCGAAAGCGUGGGUAGCGAACAGGAUUAGAUACCCUGGUAGUCCACGCCGUAAACGUUGGGCACUAGGUGUAGGGGGUUAUCAACGCCUCCUGUGCCGUAGMWAACGCAUUAAGUGCCCCGCCUGGGGAGUACGGCCGC